AGCGAACGCUGGCGGCAUGCCUAACACAUGCAAGUCGAACGAGACCUUCGGGUCUAGUGGCGCACGGGUGCGUAACGCGUGGGAAUCUACCCUUGGGUUCGGAAUAACAGUUAGAAAUGACUGCUAAUACCGGAUGAUGACGUAAGUCCAAAGAUUUAUCGCCCAAGGAUGAGCCCGCGUAAGAUUAGCUUGUUGGUGGGGUAAUGGCCUACCAAGGCGACGAUCUUUAGCUGGUCUGAGAGGAUGAUCAGCCACACUGGGACUGAGACACGGCCCAGACUCCUACGGGAGGCAGCAGUGAGGAAUAUUGGACAAUGGGCGAAAGCUUGAUCCAGCAAUGCCGCGUGAGUGAUGAAGGCCUUAGGGUUGUAAAGCUCUUUUACCAGGGAUGAUAAUGACAGUACCUGGAGAAUAAGCUCCGGCUAACUCCGUGCCAGCAGCCGCAGUAA
rnacentral:rRNA from 1 species